rnacentral:rRNA from 1 species
UACAGAGGUCCCAAGCGUUACUGAGAAUCACUGGGUUUAAAGGGUGCGUAGGUGGUCCGUUAAGUCAGUUGUGAAAUCCCACGGCUCAACCGUGGAACUGCUGGGUAUACUGGGUGCCUUGGGUCAUCUAGGGGCUGCCGGAACAAAUGGUGGAGCGGUGAAAUGCGUAGAUAUCAUUUGGAACGCCAACGGCGAAAGCAGGCAGCUGGGGAUGCACCGACGCUGAGACACGAAAGCCAGGGGAGCGAACGGG